rnacentral:lncRNA from 1 species
AAUAUUUGGUGGUGAUAUCAUAUACACGAAAUUGUGAGGGGAUACUCUAAGUAACUAUCAUAAUGAUGGAAACAAAUAAUAUUUCCAAUUGAUUGAUAAAUCUACCACUUUCAUAAAAGAGCUUAUUAUUUUGUUUCUUCUAUUCGAAAAUGAAAUAUUCCAAAUGUUUUUGAAAAUUUUCCUUUCGAUCACGAGAGAGUUUGAUUGUGUGUGAUGUGGAUGACCGAUAAGGAUCAACACUUUGCUUUGAGAGGCCGUGAUCUUUCCUUCCGGAUGUCCCUGACCUAUCCACGUGGUUAGCUGGCUUUGGUCAACGUCACUAGGGAGUCUGAAACUUCUUGCUCAAAAGGGAAUGUCAGAUCCAAUUUCACAGCCAAAAAAAGCGGAGGCGGAGAUUGGGAUCAUCCUGUGGUUACCGGAUGAUGGGAAUAACAAAGCAGAAAUUUUGAAAUGAGCACGAAAUGUCUAUAAAUGAAUUCUUUCAUUAUUCGUUAUUUCUGGGUUUUUCCGAACAAAGAGAGGCAUCAG